GCUCAGUAACACGUGGAUAACCUGCCCUUGGGACCGGGAUAACCCCGGGAAACUGGGGAUAAUACCGGAUAACGCAUAUCUGCUGGAAUGCUUUAUGCGUAAAAUGGAUUUGUCUGCCCAAGGAUGGGUCUGCGGCCUAUCAGGUAGUAGUGGGUGUAAUGUACCUACUAGCCUACGACGGGUACGGGUUGUGAGAGCAAGAGCCCGGAGAUGGAUUCUGAGACAUGAAUCCAGGCCCUACGGGGCGCAGCAGGCGCGAAAACUUUACAAUGCGGGAAACCGUGAUAAGGGGACACCGAGUGCCAGCAUCAUAUGUUGGCUGUCCAGAUGUGUAAAAUACAUCUGUUAGCAAGGGCCGGGCAAGACCGGUGCCAGCCGCCGCGGUAACACCGGCGGCCCGAGUGGUGAUCGUGAUUAUUGGGUCUAAAGGGUCCGUAGCCGGUUUGGUCAGUCCUCCGGGAAAUCUGACGGCUCAACCGUUAGGCUUUCGGUGGAUACUGCCAGACUUGGAACCGGGAGAGGUAAGAGGUACUACAGGGGUAGGAGUGAAAUCUUGUAAUCCCUGUGAGACCACCUGUGGCGAAGGCGUCUUACCAGAACGGGUUCGACGGUGAGGGACGAAAGCUGGGGGCACGAACCGGAUUAGAUACCCGGGUAGUCCCAGCCGUAAACGAUGCUCGCUAGGUGUCAGGCAUGGCGCGACCGUGUCUGGUGCCGCAGGGAAGCCGUGAAGCGAGCCACCUGGGAAGUACGGCCGCAAGGCUGAAACUUAAAGGAAUUGGCGGGGGAGCAC
rnacentral:rRNA from 1 species